GAUGAACGCUGGCGGCGUGCCUAAUACAUGCAAGUCGAGCGAACGGACGAGAGGCUUGCUUCUCUGAUGUUAGCGGCGGACGGGUGAGUAACACGUGGAUAACCUACCUAUAAGACUGGGAUAACUUCGGGAAACCGGAGCUAAUACCGGAUAAUAUUUUGAACCGCAUGGUUCAAAAGUGAAAGACGGUCUUGCUGUCACUUAUAGAUGGAUCCGCGCUGCAUUAGCUAGUUAGUAAGGUAACGGCUUACCAAGGCAACGAUGCAUAGCCGACCUGAGAGGGUGAUCGGCCACACUGGAACUGAGACACGGUCCAGACUCCUACGGGAGGCAGCAGUAGGGAAUCUUCCGCAAUGGGCGAAAGCCUGACGGAGCAACGCCGCGUGAGUGAUGAAGGUCUUCGGAUCGUAAAACUCUGUUAUUAGGGAAGAACAUAUGUGUAAGUAACUGUGCACAUCUUGACGGUACCUAAUCAGAAAGCCACGGCUAACUACGUG
rnacentral:rRNA from 1 species